GACGAACGCUGGCGGCGUGCCUAAUACAUGCAAGUAGAACGCUGAAGGAGGAGCUUGCUUCUCUGGAUGAGUUGCGAACGGGUGAGUAACGCGUAGGUAACCUGCCUGGUAGCGGGGGAUAACUAUUGGAAACGAUAGCUAAUGCCGCAUAAUAGUAGAUGUUGCAUGACAUUUGCUUAAAAGGUGCAAUUGCAUCACUACCAGAUGGACCUGCGUUGUAUUAGCUAGUUGGUGAGGUAACGGCUCACCAAGGCAACGAUACAUAGCCGACCUGAGAGGGUGAUCGGCCACACUGGGACUGAGACACGGCCCAGACGCCUACGGGAGGCAGCAGUAGGGAAUCUUCGGCAAUGGACGGAAGUCUGACCGAGCAACGCCGCGUGAGUGAAGAAGGUUUUCGGAUCGUAAAGCUCUGUUGUAAGAGAAGAACGAGUGUGAGAGUGGAAAGUUCACACUGUGACGGUAUCUUACCAGAAAGGGACGGCUAACUACGUG
rnacentral:rRNA from 1 species